GAGACCAAAUCUAAUGUUUCAGCUGA
rnacentral:piRNA from 1 species